GAGUGAAGCGGCAACAGCUCAAAUUUGAAAUCUGGCCCCCUCGGGGCCCGAGUUGUAAUUUGCAGAGGGUGCUUUGGCGUUGGCGCCGGCCUAAGUUCCUUGGAACAGGACGUCAUAGAGGGUGAGAACCCCGUACGUGGCAGGCCGCCUCCGCCGUGUAAAGCCCCUUCGACGAGUCGAGUUGUUUGGGAAUGCAGCUCUAAAUGGGAGGUAAAUUCCUUCUAAAGCUAAAUACUGGCCAGAGACCGAUAGCGCACAAGUAGAGUGAUCGAAAGAUGAAAAGCACUUUGGAAAGAGAGUCAAAAAGCACGUGAAAUUGUUGAAAGGGAAGCGCUUGCAGCCAGACUUGCCUGUAGUUGCUCAUCCGGGCCCCGGCCCGGUGCACUCUUCUGCGGGCAGGCCAGCAUCAGUCUAGGCGGCCGGAUAAAGGCCCCGGGAACGUAGCUCCCUCCGGGGAGUGUUAUAGCCCGGGGCGCAAUGCGGCCAGCUUGGACUGAGGUCCGCGCAUCUGCUAGGAUGCUGGCGUAAUGGCUGUAAGCGGCCCGUCUUGAAACACGGACCAAGGAGUCUAACAUCUAUGCGAGUGUUUGGGUGUCAAGCCCGGGCGCGAAAUGAAAGUGAACGGAGGUGGGAACCCCUCCCGGGGUGCACCAUCGACCGAUCCUGAUGUCUUCGGAUGGAUUUGAGUAAGAGCAUAGCUGUUGGGACCCGAAAGAUGGUGAACUAUGCCUGAAUAGGGUGAAGCCAGAGGAAACUCUGGUGGAGGCUCGCAGCGGUUCUGACGUGCAAAUCGAUCGUCAAAUUUGGGCAUAGGGGCGAAAGACUAAUC
rnacentral:rRNA from 1 species